rnacentral:ncRNA from 1 species
CCGAGAGGGGUGCUGGAGUGAUCCGGCUGAGAUGAGACAUUGGUUUCGAACCCUGACACCUGAUCUGGAUAAUGCCAGCGUAGGAACUGUACAG